rnacentral:rRNA from 1 species
GCCGGCUAAAAGUCGGAGGAAGGUGGGGAGUGACGUCAAAUCAUCAUGCCCCUUAUGACCUGGGCUACACACGUGCUACAAUGGGCGGUACAAAGGGUCGCGAACCCGCGAGGGGGAGCCAAUCCCAAAAAGCCGCUCUCAGUUCGGAUUGCAGGCUGCAACUCGCCUGCAUGAAGCCGGAAUCGCUAGUAAUCGCGGAUCAGCAUGCCGCGGUGAAUACGUUCCCGGGCCUU